UUACAGAAUGAAAAAAUGUUUUUUUUAAAACCGUUCUGUUAAUUAAUAUUUUUUAUAUAUUCCAAUAAGUUAAAUACAUUAAAGUAUAUGUUAUCAAUUGUUCGUACUCCGAAAUUACUAUAAUUGUUUUCAAAAAUAAUAUUGUUAAUUAAAGUGUAUACAUUAUUUUAUGGAUCAUUUUAUCAAUAUAACCAGUUGAGCUGCGUUUUAUUUCAUGAAACGUGAUACAUCAUCUAGAUGUCACGACUAUCUUCAAUGACCUUCAGAUCUCUAAUGAUUUCUUUCUCUAUUUUUUUUUUAAUAAUAAUAACUUCCAAUAUUAGAGCAAUUAAACUGACAAGGUACACGUGUGUUCUGUAUCUCAGAAUUCUUCAGUUAUGCUCUAUCAUUAAAAAAUGAUGUAAUUCUAUUUCUAGUUUAGUAAUUUAUGGAAGCUAUGUGUGCGUGUACAUGUUGCAAAAAUCAACCAGUACUAGUCAGUCAAAGAUGAAACAUCGAGUGAAAUAGAUGAUAUUCUCAAUGACAGACAAAAUAUGUCAUAAUAAACAAUCAUAAAAGUCGAUUUAAAAAAUCACAACUAAUGUGACUAAAGUUUUUUAUACUAUAUGUGAUUGUGUAUUAAAGGUAAACUACCUCAAUAUUAGUGUCAACAUUAUUAUACCUUUUUCUUUAUCAAAAUGCUUUUGGGCACAUUUGAGCUUUUACUUGGAAUCUGCGGAUUGUUAUUAAUAAUUUACUCUUACUGGUCAUUAAAAUUUAAUUUCUGGAAAUCAAGAAAUGUUCCUGGACCAAAACCAAUAUUUUUCUUUGGUACAACAAAAGAUGUCAUCCUAAGAAAAGUUAGUUUAGGGCAUUAUGUUUCACGACUUUACAAAAAAUAUUCCAAUGAACCUAUGUUUGGAAUUUAUCUGAGAAACAGACCAAUUCUCAUCAUAAAUGAUCCAGAAUUGAUCAAAAAUGUUUUAAUAAAAGACUUCAAACACUUCAUGGAACGAGGUUUAACAUCCAAUGACAAAAUAGAACCGUUGAGUGCACAUUUAUUUUUGCUAGAAGCUAAGCGUUGGCGUCCAAUGAGAACGAAAUUAACACCAGUAUUCACUUCUGGAAAAUUAAAAGAAAUGUUCCAUCUCAUUGCAGAGGUUGCUGAAAGAUUUGACAAAUAUUUAAAUAAAUUUGAUGGCAAAACUGUUGAUAUGAGAGAUAUUUCUGCUAAAUUUACUACAGAUACUAUUGGAGUUUGUGCAUUUGGGCUUGAAGCUCAUGCUCUUGAUGACGAAGAUAGUAUUUUCCGGAAAAUGGGAAAAAGAGUCUUUACUACUAGUUGGAGAAGUUAUGUUCAAUUUACAUUAAUGGGUUCCAUGCCAAUUCUGUAUAAUCUAGUUGGUAGAUUGUUUAUAGAUCAUGUUCUCGAGAAAUUUUUUAUAAAUCUUACCAAAGAAACAAUUGAAUACAGAAAGGAGAAUAAUAUCAAGCGACAUGAUUUUAUAGAUUUACUAACUAAUAUGAAGGAUAAAAACGAUAAAAUAGAUGAUAUUGAAUUAACUGACUCAUUGUUGGCUGCACAAUUAUUUGUUUUUUUCGUUGCUGGUUUUGAAACUUCAUCAUCAACUAUGAGUAACUGUUUAUUCGAACUGGCAAUGAAUCCUGAGAUUCAAAAAAAAAUUAAGCUUGAGAUUACAGAGGAAUUGAAGAAAUCUGAUGGGAAAUUUACUUAUGAAAUGAUCCAAAAUAUGAAGUAUCUGGACAAAGUAUUUAAAGAAACAUUGAGGAAAUAUCCACCAGUUAUGUUCCUUUCUCGAAAAACUAUCGAUCCUUACACGAUUCCAGACACUAACAUAACAUUACCAAUUGGCACAGCAGUUUGGACACCAGUUUAUGGUAUUCAUCAUGAUCCUAAAUAUUAUCCUGAACCAGAAGUAUUUGAUCCUGAGAGAUUUACUGAUGAAGAAGUGGAAAAACGUCCUGCUAUGUCUUAUUUGCCUUUUGGAGAUGGCCCACGUAAUUGUAUUGGUCUUCGUUUUGGACAAUUGCAGACCAAAGUUGGCCUUGUAAAAAUUCUACAAAACCACACCGUCAAUGUCUGUGAAGAAACUGAUAAAACUUACAAUGCUGAUCUCAGAAAUAAUAUAUUAGCACCUAAAAAUGGAAUAAAGCUUCAAAUAAACAAACAAUAACUCGAUUUGUUACAUCACUGUCAUUACGAGCAUUAAAUUUAACAUUUUUAUGAAUCAUUUAUGAAUUGAUUGGAUCAGUUCUUGAAAAAUGAAAACAUUGCUUAUUUCUCUAUUUAUUAUAUAACUGCGAUGAUAUGAACUUUGGUCAGUCAAGGAUAAUAUACCAGAGUGAACACUCAGGAUAAAUAUUUUUUGACAGUCAUUUUUGAUUACUUAUCAAUUGUUGUUCACAAUUUUGGAGAUGAACAUUAUUGUGUAAAUGUAAUUUUUAUUAAUAAGAUAAAUUAAAGUGAUUGAAUUUUUUUUAUUGAAUAUAGAAUUUUUUUAUAUACUUGAAAUAUUUCAAAUUAUCCUGAAAUUUUGUUAACUUCAUC